rnacentral:rRNA from 1 species
GAUGAACGCUGGCGGUGUGCCUAAUACAUGCAAGUCGUACGCUUUCUCGUUUCUGAUUGACGGUGCUUGCACCUAAUUGACGAGACAUUGGAAUGAGUGGCGGAUGGGUGAGUAACACGUGGGUAACCUGCCCAGAAGCGGGGGAUAACAUUUGGAAACAGAUGCUAAUACCGCAUAAAAGUCAAAACCACAUGGUUUUGAUUUAAAAGAUGGCCUUUGUGCUAUCACUUCUGGAUGGACCCGCGGCGUAUUAGCUAGUUGGUAAGGUAAUGGCUUACCAAGGCAAGGAUACGUAACCGAACUGAGAGGUUGAUCGGCCGCAAUGGGACUGCGACACGGCCCAUACUCCUACGGGAGGCAGCAGUAGGGAAUCUUCCACAAUGGGCGCAAGCCUGAUGGAGCAACACCGCGUGAGUGAAGAAGGGUUUCGGCUCGUAAAACUCUGUUGUUAAAGAAGAACGUAUCUAAGAGUAACUGCUUAGGUAGUGACGGUAUUUAACCAGAAAGCCACGGCUAACUACGUGCCAGCCGCCGCCGUAA